AGAUAUUGUAUAGGUUUAAAACGUACAGAUGACAAACUCUAACCUAGAAACUCUAGCCUUAACUACGCUUCUUUACAAAUAAGAAUUCUAUAUCGACUCAAUUCAUGCACAUCCAGGCAAGACAUCGCCCCCGAUCUCAUCCUUCAUUACAUACAUGCAAUAAUUAGUCCUCUCGCCAGCAACAAGGAGCAGACAGGUUGUGUGGUAGUACUUGCAGGUAAUGUUCAUUAUCUCCUUCCACAAAUAAUACAUGAAUGUCUCCUUGCAAUGAUUAAUAUAUGCAUUAACUCUCUGAUCUCAUUCACAUGCUUUGUAUUAACUUCGCCGAUAAACUUGAGAUUCAAAUCACCAAUUACAGAGCGUGCACAUCCCAGCAAGACAUUGCCCUCCUCUCGCAAGCAGCAAGGAGCAGACAGGUUGUGGCAGUACUUGCAGCCAAUGUUCAUUAUGUCCUUCCACAAAUAAUAUAUGCAUGUCUCCUGCAAUGAUUAAUAUAUACAUCAACUCUCCGAGCUCAUUAAACAUGCUUUGUAUUAACUUGAAUUAUAGAGAGAAAGCGACGAUAAACUUGAGAUUCAGAUCACCAAUUACAGAGCAUAUACGUCCUCUCAUUGGAAGGUGACAACACAAGUAUCCUUCUUUCACAAUAGAAUAAUGAUUUUAGACGAUUUAAAAUCCUUUGUUGGAAAACGAUCCAUACGAAAAAGAAUCUCAUCAGGAAACUAUCUAUUCCAUACAAAUACCUUCAGCAUCCUUGCAAACAAUGUGGUGCCUGACAUGUUUACAUUAAAUUUAUCAUCAGCAAUUCUGAAUUUCUGGACAAAUAAAAUCAGUUACAUAUAAGAUGUCCUCACUUAUAUCUCAGAAUAAAAUCAAUUACGCUUUUUACCUCAUUUAUUUCAGGAUUCACUAGCCGCAGUCAACAUGCGUCAAACACGCACUAGAGCAAACCAAAACAAAGGAAGGUGUUCAUUACCACAGUACCAAAAAUAAUCAUAUAAAUAUUAAUUUACCUGGAUUAUUAAAAUGAUAACAAAAUAAAAUGCAUGAAUAUGUGACGUCAUCAAGGAAUCCAAAUACCUGAGCAAGCAGCCUCCAAACUAGCAACACUCGAAUCUAAUGAUAGUCAAUCAGACAUCAUUAGAGCAGCAACAAAGGAAGCUAGGCGGAAAAGGAAAGAGAUCCUCCAGCUGAAAAAGGCAAGCAAACGACUAAGGACAGAAAAGGGCAAUGACUGUGAAGUAUCUAAUGUAGCGAAGGAUGUCACUCAAGUUUCAUAUCUGGGAAAACCAAAUUGUGUUUGUGAAUUUUGCAAUGCCAUAUGUGGCAUGGAGAGAGAAGCACAAGCACAGGUAACAUCACAGUUCCAAAAUUUGGUCUCUGCUGCAAGGAAGGGAAAGUUAAAUUACCACCACUGAAAGAAGCUCCGUUGUAUCUCCGACAGCUACUACGUUACAAUGAAAGAGGAGAAUCAUCAAAUUUCCGCCAGAACAUCAGGUCGUACAACUCGAUGUUCGCAUUCACUUCAAUGGGAGGAAAGGUUGACUAUGAAAUUAAUAAGCAGGCAUCUGGACCGUAUGUUUUCCGUUUGAAUGGACAGAAUUACCAUCAGAUUGGCACUUUACUUCCUAAAGAUGACGUGAUGAAACCAAAAUUUGCCCAAUUGUACAUACAUGACACAGAAAAUGAAGUGCGGAAUAGGAUUAAUGCAUCUGCUUCAACGGAGAGUAAGACACAACCAGAUGAAAACAUUGUCAAAGGACUACUGGAGAUGCUUGAUGAGCACAGUGUUUUAGUCAAAUCAUUUUGUAUGGCAAGGGACAGAUUCCAAAACCGGCGUAUUAAAGAUGUAAGACUAAGAUUGAUCAACAAAAGGUCGAAAGAUGGACGGCAAUACAACCUACCAUCUGCAUCAGAAGUCGCAGCACUAAUUAUUGGAACAAGAUGGAGAAAAUAAUGAAUUUGAUAUAAUAGUUGAGACCAAAGACAGAAUGUUACAGAGGAUUUCAGAGUUGCACCCAAGCUAUAUGUCAAUGCAGUACCCCUUGCUUUUUCCAUAUGGAGAAGAUGGUUUCAGACCAGAAAUAGAGUAUGAAAAUAAAAGAGGCAGCAAAGGUAAAAGAAAGUAUGUAACAAUGCUGGAGUUUUAUGCGUAUCGCAUACAACAACGUCUGAACCAAGCUUCAACAUUGCAAAUGAGUGGAUGUUUGUUCCUGCAGUUCUUAGUUGAUGCAGCAACAUGCAUUGAAUAGUGGAGACUAAAUUAGUACAGGACAAACCAAGGUAAGUUGAGGUCAGAACUGUACAGAGGACUGCAUGAUGCAAUAGAAAAUGGAGAUACACGAACCGAACAAGUUGGACAAAGAAUCAUACUACCCUCAUCAUAUAAUGGCAGUCCAAGAAAUAAGCAGCAAAAUUACCAAGAUGCCAUGGCGAUUUGUCGUUGGGCUGGCUAUCAUGAUCUCUUCAUUACUUUUACAUGCAAUCCAAAAUGGCUGGAAAUACAAGAUAUGUUGGAUCUAAUUCCAGGCCAGAAACCUGAGGAUCGUCCAGAUAUUGUUGCCAGAGUAUUCAUGUUAAAACUGAAGGAACUUAUGAAUGACAUAAAGAAUGGAAAGUGUUUUGGACAAACAAUUGCAAGUAAGUUUACCUAAUAAGUACAUAUUCACUCUUUCCUAGAUGAUUGUCCUAACUCAUUUCUUCUCCAAUUUGUUUACUUUCAUAAAGUUGUCUACACUAUAGAGUUCCAGAAAAGAGGCCUCCCGCAUGCACACAUACUGGUGUUUCUACACCCAGAUGAUAAAGAUCGACAAAAUCAUAUCAGCCGAAAUUCCUGAUAAGAAAAGUGAUCCAGAAGGGUACGAAGCAGUGCAAAAUUACAUGAUACAUGGUCCAUGUGGUCAAGCACACCCAAAAUCACCAUGCAUGGUCGAUAAAAGUUGUGCCAAACAUUUCCCCAAGAAUUUUUGCACUGAUACUACCAUAGAUGAAGAUAACUAUCCAGUAUAUAGAAGGCGAGAUGAUGGCAACACUGUGGACAAGAAUGGAGUGAAGCUAGACAAUAGAUUUGUUGUGCCAUACAAUAGAAACCUACUGGUUAAGUAUCAAGCCCACAUAAAUGUUGAAUGGUGCAACAGAUCAAGGUCUAUAAAGUAUUUAUUCAAAUACAUCCACAAAGGAGAAGAUCGAACAACCGUCUUGAUAGAAGCGGAAGACCAACAAAGUGAAACAAGAGCUAGCAAAUUAACAAACAGGGACGACGAAAUCAAGAGGUACCUUGAUGCCCGGUACAUAUCUGGAUGUGAAGCCGCAUGGCGCAUAUUUUAGUUUCCUCUUCAGUGCAGAGAGCCUGCGGUUGAAAGGUUACAAUUUCACCUAGAAAAUGAACAUGUUGUGGUGUUCCCGGACUCGAUGGAUUUAGAUCAAAUUGUAUCCCGGCCUAACAUAGAAAAGACAAUGUUCACAGAAUGGAUGACAGCCAACCAGUUGCAUGAAGAAGCUCGCAGUUUGACGUAUGCACAGUUUCCAACCAAAUGGACUUGGCAUGCACAAGAGAAAGAAUGGAGGAAAAGGCGUGGUGGAAAAAAAACCAUAGGCAGGAUUUACUAUGCGCAUCCAACGAGUGGUGAAAAAUACUACUUGAGAAUGCUGUUAAAUACCGUCAAAGGAUGCAGAUCAUAUGAAGAAAUUCGAACAGUUGAUGGGGUUGUACAUCCAACAUUCAAAUCCGCAUGUUAUGCUCUUGGGCUACUUAAUGACGACAAAGAGUGGGAUGACUGCAUCAUGGAAGCAUCCCAUUGGGCCUCUGCUCCUCAAAUGCGCCAACUUUUCUGCACAAUACUUUUAUUUUGUGAGGUGACGGAUCCCGCAAAGUUGUGGCAAACAAAUUGGGAGUUACUAUCUGAGGAUAUGCAACGUCGGCAAAAAAGAAUAUUCAAUUUUCAUGCCCUGGAACUCAAUUCGGCACAAAUAAAGAGCCUGCUCCUGGCAGUGAUAGAACAACUAUUGACUAAAGGUGGUAAGUCCCUCAAAGAUUUUCCAGGAAUGCCACUACCAGAUAGUUCAGUUCUUCAAGAUCUAAGUAAUAGAUUAGUAAAUGAGGAACUAAACUACGAUAAAGAUUCUUUAAGAAUAGAGCACAUGAAGUUACUGCAUAAGCUAAAUCAGGAUCAGACGAUGGCUUUGACGUUAUAGUAGAAUCAGUCAACGAUAGUCUUGGAAAAUUGAUUUUUGUUGACGGAUAUGGUGGAACUGGAAAGACAUUUCUGUGGAAAGCAGUCACGACAAAAUUAAGAUCUGAAGGAAAAAUAGUUCUAGCAGUUGCUUCAAGUGGUAUAGCAGCACUUCCUUUACAGGGUGGAAGAACAGCUCAUUCCAGAUUUCACAUUCCCCUCAAGAUCACUAACGAGUCCACAUGCAACAUCAAGCAAGGAACAUUUCUUGCGGAGCUAAUAAAGAAAACGUCACUGAUAAUAUGGGAUGAAGCACCUAUGACACACAAGCACUGUUUUGAGGCACUAGAUAAGAGUUUGAGAGACAUACUUCGAUUCACAUAUGAGGGCGCAAAGCAUAGACCAUUUGGAGGAAUGACAGUAGUCUUGGGAGGUGACUUUAGGCAAAUCCUACCAGUUAUACCGAAGGGGAAAAGAGAACAUAUCAUUUCUGCAUCAAUAAAGAGAUCCUGCCUAUGGAAGAACUUUGAGGAGUACCGACUCAAAGAAAAUAUGCGUCUGAAUUCAUCCGAAGGUAGUUGAGAAGAGAAAGCAAAAACAGUUGAAUUCGCAAACUGGAUACUAAACAUAGGCGAUGGCACAACGUCAACAACAGAUGAAGAGGAUUGGGUUAGCAUCCCAGAGGACCUUAUUUUACAUGAAGGGGAUGACCCGAAAGCAUCUAUUGUUAACACCACCUAUCCUGACUUACACAAAAAAUACACUGAUAGAACAUACCUAGAGGAAAGAGCGAUCUUGUGCACAAGAAACGAGACAACUGACCAGAUUAAUGACUACAUCGUGAGUCAAAUCCCUGGAGAAGAGGUAACCUAUUUCAGUUCAUAUACAACAUGCAAGGCAAUGUCUACGGUGGAAGAUGAAGAUAUGUUGUACCCAACUGAGUUUCUGAAUAGUCUUACAUUUUCUGGAAUACCAGACCAUGAACUGAGGCUGAAAGUAGGAUUAUCAAUAAUGCUUAUGAGGAACAUCAAUCAAAGUGCAGGACUUUGCAAUGGGACAAGACUAACAAUAACACAGCUAGGAAAGCGUUUCAUUGAAGGCCAGGUCAUAACAGGUCCUGACGUUGGUGACAAAGUUACAUCCCAUGAAUUAUCAUGCCACCAAGUGAUUCAAAAUGGCCUUUCAUUCUGAAAAGGAGACAAUACCCAAUAUCAGUGCGCUUUGCUAUGACUAUAAACAAAAGCCAGGGGCAAUCUCUCAAAAAAGUUGGACUAAACUUAGAAAGGCAAGUGUUCACACAUGGACAACUCUAUGUUGCAAUGUCAAGGGUGACCAGCAGAAAUGGAUUGAAGAUACUCAUAUCAGAUGAAGAGCGUCCGUCCGACAAGGUUGCAAAAAACAUUGUUUACAAGGAUAUAUUAUAGAUAUUGUUACAAGCAUUCUGAUAUGACUAAAUAUAAUGUGAUGUAGACAUAGCAGCCUUAUUUGGUUUCAAAUUGAUAUAUCUGAAAUAUUUUAUCAGAACGAAAUUUAUUUACUUUUGGGUAUCUUAUUAUAUUCGUAUAUAGUCUAUAGUCAUUAUUUAGUUUAGUCUGAUUUUAGAAUUUCUAGCAAACUCAAUGUUUUGAUGCAUCCAUUUAACAAACCCAAAUAUAGUGUUUGUGAGCUUAUGCCCUUCACUCUUUUUAUGGUGUUCCUCUGAAGAUUGAACUAUAUUUAAGCUCUCUCUGACUGUAAGAGGACGGCCACUGUACUUUAUUUUCAAAAUAGUGGAAAUACAUUCAUAAGACAGUGUAUUUACACAGAUACCUGAUGGAGGGCUCACAACUGAUUUGACAAAAAUCAAUAUCAGUUAUGUAAGCAUCACGUAUGUGCUUUUAUCAAUUACUAUAACCUUUCUUUCUUCCCUAGCAAUUCAGAUCUGAUUUAACAAAUAAAGAAAAUUCCAAGAGUCUAAUUGCUAGAUAAAAUAUUAGAAACAGUAAUUUGAUAACCGUGCAAUGCAUGCCUAAAAUUUAUAUCAUAGAGAGAGGACAUGGUAAGGCAAAGGAAAGAUAUGCACCUGUUCGUACAAACACAGGGUCAAGGGAAAAUGGGGAUGGAUAAGAGUCGACGCCGCUGUUGCUGGAUGUGGAAACUCCGCUCAACAACGCGGGCAUCGGAGGAGAUUGCAGAUUCAGCGGGGACGACCUACCUCACGGCAAAUUGCAGAUUCAGCGGGGACGACCUACCACACGGCAAAGGGGAACGGUCGGAUGGCUGCCGCUACAGCCGGCGUUGCGAUGUGGUUCGCGAGGAACGACUUUCUGAGGUUACUGAUGAA
rnacentral:lncRNA from 1 species